GUCUUUUUGAUAAUAAUAUAAAGUCUGACCUGCCCAAUGAGGAUUUAAAUGGCCGCGGUAUUUUGACCGUGCAAAGGUAGCAUAAUAAUUAGUUUUUUAAUUGAAAGCUGGAAUGAAUGGUUGGACGAGAAAAUAGCUGUCUCAGAUUAAUUUAAUUAGAAUUUUAUUUUUAAGUAAAAAAGCUUAAAUUUUUUUAAAAGACGAGAAGACCCUAUAGAGCUUUAUAUAUUUAUAAUUAAACACAAUUUAGUAUAAUCAAGUUUUUAUUUUUAAAUAUAUUUUAUUGGGGUGAUAAAAAAAUUAAUAAAACUUUUUUUUUAUAUUAACAUUAAUUUAUGAAUUAUUGAUCCAUUUUUUAUGAUUAAAAGAUUAAGUUACCUUAGGGAUAACAGCGUAAUUUUUUUUUAGAGUUCUUAUCGAAAAAAGAGAUUGCGACCUCGAUGUUGGAUUAAAAUUAAUGUUUGGUGUAGAAGCUAAAUAAUUAGGUCUGUUCGACCUUUGAAAUUUUACAUGAUCUGAGUUUAAACCGGUGUAAGCCAGGUUGGUUUCUAUCUUUAAAUAAUUAAAAUAUUUUAGUACGAAAGGACCAAAUAUUUAUAAAAUUUAUUGAAUUUUGAAUAAUAUUAA
rnacentral:rRNA from 1 species